CUGCGGUCGGAGGUGGGCCAAGACCAGCCUCUCCAGCACCUUUAUCACAUGAGAUGUGAGGGCAAUGGGUGGGAAGUCGUUGAGGCCAGAUGGAGUCAUCUUCUUAGGAACAGGAACCAGGCACGAUGUCUUCCACAGCACCGGGACUUCCUCCUGCUUCAGGCUCAGGUUGAAGAGGUGUUGCAGGACAUUAAACAGCUGGGUGGCUUCAGGACCCUGGGGCUGAUGCCGUCAGGUCCUGCAGUCUUGCAUUGGUGGAGUCUCUCCAGCUGUCUCCUAACCUGGCCAGUCGUCACAGAGAGAGGGGGGAGGGGGGUCAUGGUGUCAGUGGUGCCCUUUGAUGUUGAGGGCUCUGUGUCCAUGCAGCUCACCUGGGGGGACAGAGAGGGGAGGCAGCAGAGAUGUUUGUGAGGUGUGGUGUGUGAAGGACACAGAUGAGGGCUGUGAACUAAACCUAUUGAAGAAACAGUUUAGCUCACUGGCCCUCUCCAGGGAGCCCCCUGGUUGUCUCCCUCCAACCUUGAAGCCAGUUAUCUGCUUCAUCCUGGUUCACACCUCCCUCAAAUUGUUACCACAGACUUCACUGCUUUUUUAUGCUGAUUACUGGGAGUCAGGCAGUUAGUGAACAGUAGCACUACGAUGGAGAAAUCCUUCAUUACCCACACAUGCUGUAUCUGAGUCCUUGAUUUGGGUUUGUGGUUUGGUGGAAAAUGUAGUCAACUAAAAGCAGUGAUUGUGACUUAUUUUUUUUGUGAUACAUUGCAAUCGUGACCCAUCAACUUUAUUUUUUGUAUUCUUUCUUUUAUUUGUUAAAAAAGGUAUUGUGACAUUCACAAUAUCCAGAUAAUAAAAAGUAACUAAACUUCGAAUCCAUCAACAGCACUAGCUGUUAAUGGGUUCAGGUCCAAGUUUUGACAUUUUAGUGCAAAAUAUUUGAAUCCUACAAAUAUCUACACACAGAAUGUAUAAGAAAUGGACGUAGUCACUGUGGAGUCACUCGUCGGUUUGUGGACCGCCGUUUCGAGACCUCGAGUUCAGCAUUGAAUGAUCACGAUGUCUUAUUGUACUUAUCUCCAUUAUCUCAUGCCACAAAAUUUUUUUUUUCUGUAACCAGUGUAGCAUUAAAGCACGGGGGUGUUAGCAAGCUAGCUAACUAGCCUGCUGUCCGCUAGUUAGCUAGCUAGCUUGUCAAUAACAGAAAAUGAGCCAAACAAAGUUGUCACUCAUCUGACAGUUUAGUUAAUACAGAAGUUAGCCCGCAACAAAAGACGCAACGGUGACAUAAAAAUGGCCACUGCUCUGACCAUCCUGUUGAGUUGAAUGGGAAAGUCUGUUCCACCCCUAUUCUAUUUCUACGGAGCGAGCAUGUGAGAUACUAAGAACCUGAAAUCAAAACAGCUAAAUGGAAUUGAGUCCUUCAUUUAAUUAUUUACACCUGUGCUUUUUUCCGACUGUGACGUGUCAAAAUGUCUUCCCUGAAAUAAGGCCUAUUCCCCAAACCAAAACCAUUGCCAUCCUUCCAUCCACCAGAUGCCCCUCGGAGUUUCUCUCCUCUCCCACGUCACCUGACCGACCCGCCUAUCAACACACCUGUUCCCACCUCCCCAAUCUGCGCUGCAGUUGCCUGGCCUUCCCCACCUGCAUCUCAUUCCCUCAUCAGCCUCUCGCCACAUAAACCGGCCCAGUUGCAUUCGUUCUCUCUUCCAGAUCGUCAAAUUAUCUACAUUUGGAUCCUCACUGUCACCAGCUGGACCAUGGCCCAGAAAUAAGCUGUUGUUUGACUCCUGUCUGAUUGUUGGCCCGACAUAGUACCAGGUAAACAGAAUGGAGCUGGACCGGGUGUUGUGUCGAAUAAUGUUUCCCGUUGAUAGUUUUCCCCGAAAUCAACUUGAACCAACACAGGACGGAAACACGCAUCGACGGGGGAGCAGACUUCGAGAUAACACCUCUGGCAACAGCUACAUAUAACGGCUACAUUAAAUAUAUAUCAUGUGGGAACUACCUGGUUUUUGACACUGUUGCUAUUAGUUUUUUGCUUUUUUUUUUUUUUUUUUUAUUAAAAUUUUAUUUUAUAGCCAAGCGGGACUGUGCUGCAACAGCUAACGUUAGCUCUCCUCUUGCCAAUUUCAACUGAUUUGUUGUUUAUAAUGUAGCGUUUAAGGGAUCGGCGAACAGAAAGCAUUAAGGCCAAUCUCCCGAGUGCGUAUUUGACUGAAUAUCAGCCCCGAAUAAAGAUCACAUUUAUUUACCUGCCCAAUCGCACGAGGAACUCCACUUGCCCCAACAGAGUUAACUGGCCCAGGGCAAGUGUUGGUGUCGAGCCUUGGGUAAGCUAUAGAUGCACCUGUUGGAUUUGCCUACUAUUCAGUAAAGCUUGAGAAUUCGUGCCAUAACAGGGAAGCUUGUGUAAAGGGAUCAUUCUGUGUGUUUUUCAGUGCGUUAAUGAAGUUCCAGACCUGUCGGGCAGUAAGAACAUCGGCAUACCCACAAGCUUUAGUUCAAAAACUAUAUUUUUCGGUACACCAGAGAGCAUUUGAAUGAUCGAGUGACUGUUUUCAGUUAUUUAGACUAUUAUUAUGUGCAUUGAAAGGAUAUCUAAGAAAUGGUCAGCUGUACCUCAUUUUCACUCGAGGCUCAUGUUGUAGAUGAAAUGAUAAUUAAGGUGCAGUAUCAAAGCCACAAGAAAUGCAUCCAAUUACAUGAUGCUGAUUUUGAGGAAUUCAUUUUUGAAGGCAAAUUUCCCAAUUGGUAUUUGACUGAAGAUGUAAUUUGAACUGGCAAUUAUAUUUUCUCAUCCUGCAUCAUCAGGACCCACGUGGGGGAAUCAGAUUCCGGUGACUGACUCACGCAGC